rnacentral:rRNA from 1 species
UACGGAGGGUGCGAGCGUUGUUCGGAAUUACUGGGCGUAAAGCGCGCGUAGGCGGUUUUGUAAGUCAUUUGUGAAAGUCCAUGGCUCAACCAUGGAAGUGCAUGUGAAACUGCAAGACUUGAGUACUGGAGGGGGUAGUGGAAUUCCCGGUGUAGAGGUGAAAUUCGUAGAUAUCGGGAGGAAUACCGGUGGCGAAGGCGACUGCCUGGCCAGAUACUGACGCUGAGGUGCGAAAGCGUGGGGAGCAAACAGG